rnacentral:misc_RNA from 1 species
UAGUGAUACACCUUAUUGCACUAGAAAGCAGAAAGCUGCAUUAAUAUGGCAUGAACCAAAGAUGAUGGGAGAUCGUACCAUAUCUUCCGGCUCAAUUCCUCUUGCAGCUCUGUAAGGUGUUUCGAUCGAUCUGCUAAAUUGGAGGUGUGAUUAUAUUAUUUAAAACGUGAGAGCACGAACAUGUGUCUUUUCCGUAGUGCAGAUGUAUAAUAUAAUCAGAUUUUCAGCAGCUCUGGUUUAAGAGCUGGGAAAUGCACCACCAACAAGGAUGUUUAGUCUUUGUACGAUUUCUUGAUUAGCAGCAUAUUCUUAAGAUCAACCAUGAACUUAUCGACUUGGUUCUGAAGACCACUUCCUCCUACUUAUAGAGCCUGCACUAUCAUAAUCAUGCCACUCCAACUCCAUAUCUCCAACAACGACAGUGUCACCCUCUUUCACGCCAAGCUUGAGCAGAGAUUUAUUCACACCACAUGCUUCCAAAACGUGUUGAAAUCUUCUGUCUGAAUCCAUAUAUCUCCAGUUUGUCAUUUGGACGAAACGUUGCAGGCCUAAUCCUUGAACAUACCAAGUUUUGGAAGAACUAUCAUGGGAGAUCUCAAACUCGUUUAUGGGAGCAUUUCGCUGCUUUUUCACCAUGUCAGCAACAUAGUUCAAGUUUACUGGGUCCCUUCUCACUUCUUCUUUAGAAGCUUCUCUUCUACAAACAAGAUCAUAAGCAGCACAAAUAACAUCAUGUGUACCCUCUCUUUUCACUGCACUCAUGCAAAAAGGUUCAAUUCCACGAGAUCUCAGACUGUCCCUGAAUGUCUUCCAAUUCUCAUAUGCGUCUGGAAGGUCCAUUUUGUUGUAAACCACUAAAUAAGGUUUUUCAGCAAGUUCAGGGCUAAACAUUUCCAAUUCAAGACGAACAGCUUCAUA